rnacentral:lncRNA from 1 species
GCAUGACGUGGUAUGUUUUUGCUAGUAGACUUGCCUGAAAGAAAAUCUGUUCCGCCCUUUGUGUUUCACUUUCAGUUGCUUUCUGUACUCUCGUAAUAUGCUACUGGACAAAACUGGAAACAUUUGACCAUCCUCUCUGAACUUACUUUGCAGAAUUUUGCAUGACAAUACAAAGUGCAGUGGGAUGGGAGAACAGAGCUAAAUAUAAUGCUGUAGAAACAGUUGGGCCUCCAACAUCAAGAAUAUUGGAUUUUGUUGUUUUUAUGCUGUAAUUUUCUCUGAAUCUGGACACACAUAGAUACCAUCUCUGCUGUCAUUUGUUUUGAAGAUGAAUUUCAUCUAAUGCUUCCUUCAGAUGUAACUGGCAUGUGCACAUUCUCACACUGCGGGAAUUUGACUUCAUCUUCUCACCCCAAAGCACUGGCCACUUAAAGAACUGCCAUUUCACUGAGACAGAUAUUGGGGAUUUGCUUAUUUUAUAUUUUCAAAUAUGCAUUUCUGGUAAGUUGCUUUUGAUUUUAGCAUUAAUUUAUAUGCGGGUUGAAAUCCUUCUUUUUGUGAUUGAUUAAGGAAACUGGUAAAUUCCUAAAAUGAGAAGGUUUUCUCGU